CUCUCCAUGGGGUGUUAUUGUAUUGUUUGUAGCACAUUUGUUAACAGGUAUAAAGGUCUGUUCUCACAGACAGUACUUUGGGUUAAGAUUGUAUGAAGGAUGACAUGCUAACAUCACUGCUGAAGAACUGCUACACUGCUACCUUCAAUAAAUUCUUCUCCCCACAA